GACCAGACUCCUACGGGAGGCAGCAGUGGGGGAUAUUGCACAAUGGGGGGAACCCUGAUGCAGCGACGCCGCGUGGGUGAAGGAGUACUUCGGUACGUAAAGCCCUAUCAGCAGGAAAGAAAAUGACGGUACCUGACUAAGAAGCCCCGGCUAACUACGUGCCAGCAGCCGCGGUAAUACGUAGGGGGCAAGCGUUAUCCGGAUUUACUGGGUGUAAAGGGAGCGUAGACGGCGAUGCAAGCCAGAUGUGAAAGCCCGGGGCUCAACCCCGGGACUGCAUUUGGAACUGUGUGGCUGGAGUGUCGGAGAGGCAGGCGGAAUUCCUAGUGUAGCGGUGAAAUGCGUAGAUAUUAGGAGGAACACCAGUGGCGAAGGCGGCCUGCUGGACGAUGACUGACGUUGAGGCUCGAAAGCGUGGGGAGCAAACAGGAUUAGAUACCCUCGUACCA
rnacentral:rRNA from 1 species